UACGUAGGUGGCAAGCGUUGUCCGGAAUUAUUGGGCGUAAAGAGUGCGUAGGCGGUCUAUUAAGUCUUAUUUGAAAGCCCAUGGCUUAACCAUGGAGGGUGAUAGGAAACUGGUAGACUUGAGUACAGGAGAGGAAGGUGGAAUUCCACGUGUAGCGGUGAAAUGCGUAGAUAUGUGGAGGAACACCGGUGGCGAAGGCGGCCUUCUGGCCUGUGUCUGACGCUAAGGCACGAAAGCGUGGGUAGCAAACAGG
rnacentral:rRNA from 1 species